rnacentral:lncRNA from 1 species
GCCAGGAAUAGCCCGGCAAGAUCUGCCCGCAGCGCCAGCGCUCCCCCCGCCCCGGGCAGGGCGGGCUGCGGCUCCCGGGCCGCCGCCUCUCCCCCGAGUGCAACACCAGCCCCUCCGCCGCUGCCAGGGCGAUGGUGGUGAUCCUGCCUAAAGAGAGGGAGCGGAAUGACCUGCCUGCAGACAAAUGCGUGAAGCGGACGUCCCUCGGCCGCUGGAAUAUCGCUGUCUGUCCUUACAUAUAAAGAAGCACCGCGAGCCACCUCACUCCUCCAGGCAAGCCCUUAGCAAAGGAGCGACGAGAGCGCCCGGCGGAAUCCGCAGCGGCAGCAAGGGCACCGGGAGGGCUUCCCUCCUUCCCCGCGGUGACUCUCCAGAUCACUCCCUACAUGGCAGGAAAGACACAUGGGACGAUGGACUUCCUUUAUGCACGCCUCUCCAAGGCUUCAGUGCAGCAUAUUUUUCACAAAUGGAUUGAUUAUGAGAGAAACCUUGUGAGUUUCUUUCUCUUUCACAGCCCUAGUAAUGAAAGAAGAAAAUGAAGAUGCUAACCACAUGUUUUUGGAUGUGUGCUGAUUGAGAAUGAGGCCCAGAGAGGAAGAUAAGUAGGCUGGGGAGGGAGGGUUCUAGUGAAACUGUCAGUGGAUUGUAAUUGCCUACAGUUAUUUUUAUCAGAGCAAGUCUCCCUUUAACAUCAAGACUGCAACCUAAAGAAUUUUAGUAUUUAGCCUUUCAAAUCCCUGUCCACUCGCAAGUUGUAUAAGCACAUCUUGAGUAAUUACAAUCGUAGAGAAGGCAACAUCUUGGAUAUACUGUAACAUCCUCUAACUUCCAUUGUUUGACAUCUCCACUGCUCAUUUACACACAGGAUACAGCUCCGCCUUAUCUUGCUCAGUGCUUGCAGGUAUUUCUCUUUACGUUUUGCUUAUGCACUGUUUUGAUUUAAUUUACUUGCAGGAUCAUUUGAUUCUGGUCAAUAGUUCAACCCACUUAACUAGCAAGCAGGGGAAUAAAUGAAACCAUUUUUAACUAACUCAUUCUCAGUCAAGUGGGUUGUCUGGCAAGCCAAGAGUGCAAUAAAUAGAUUUUGUGGCUAUUUACAGACUCAAACACUAGAAAACAGCCAUGUUUCCCAGUGUCAUUACAUAAUUCAGUGUUACAUCCAGAUGAUGAGAUUAUACCUGUGUUUUUAUCUCAGCCAAAAAUGUGGGGUUUUUUGCCCCUGCUAUGAGGUUUCCCAUAAAAAUAAACAGAUUACACCAGAAAUUUGAGGGGGGCUGCUACACUGCAUGAAGAAAAACUUAAGUAUGCAUGUAUACAUAUAUGCAUAUAUACUAUACAGUUAUGUGAUCAUAGUUUCUGUAUGCAGUCAUGUUCUGUCUCAUUCACAGUACCAUAUAUAUAGCUGGAAUAACUUAAUAAGAAGUCAUGGUUGCAGGUCUGGCUUGUUUGUCACUGAGAG